AUAUGCCACUUGGAGGUAAAAAUAAGGACUUUUAUAGUUGAAUUUCUCCAAAUUGCUACAGUAAAAAUGCUUGAUAUUGAGUAUGUGUGUAGUGUUAGAUGUGUAGAAGUCAGAUAUACCAUCCUUAGCCAUGAAAUAUUGAGCAAUAUUAUUUUACAGUAGCUCAAAUAUGGUGAAAUAUGCCACUUGGAGGUACAAAUAUGAACUUUUGUUCUUACAUUUCUCCAAAUUGCUGCAGUAAAAGUGCUUGAUAUUGAGUAUAUGUGUAGUGUUAGAUGUGUAGAAGUCAGAUAUACCAUCCAUAGCCAUGAAAUAUUGAGCAAUAUUAUUUUACAGUAGCUCAAAUAUGGUGAAAUGUGCCACUUGGAGGUAAAAAUAAGUACCUUUAUUGUUGAAUUUCUCCAAAUUGCUGCAGUAAAAGUGCUUGAUAUUGAGUAUGUGUGUAGUGUUAGAUGUGUAGAAGUCAGAUAUACCACCCAUAGCCAUGAAAUAUUGAGCAAUAUUAUUUUACAGUAGCUCAAAUGUGGUCAAAUAUGCCACUUGGAGGUACACAUAUGGACUUUUAUUGUUGAAUUUCUCCAAAUUGCUGCAGUAAAAGUGCUUGAUAUUGAGUAUAUGUGUAGUGUUAGAUGUGUAGAAGUCAGAUAUACCAUCCAUAGCCAUGAAAUAUUGAGCAAUAUUAUUUUACAGUAGUUCAAAUAGGGUGAAAUGUGCCACUUGGAGGUACAAAUAUGGACAUUUGUUCUUAGAUUUCUCCAAAUUGCUACAGUAAAAAUGCUUGAUAUUGAGUGUGUGUGUAGUCUUAGAUGUGUAGAAGUCAAGUACACCAUCCAUAGCCAUGAAAUAUUGAGCAAUAUUAUUUUACAGUAGCUCAAAUAUGGUGAAAUGUGCCACUUGGAGGUAAAAAUAAGUACCUUUAUUGUUGAAUUUCUCCAAAUUGCUGCAGUAAAAGUGCUUGAUAUUGAGUGUGUGUGUAGUCUUAGAUGUGUAGAAGUCAAGUACACCAUCCAUAGCCAUGAAAUAUUGAGCAAUAUUAUUUUACAGUAGCUCAAAUAUGGUGAAAUGUGCCACUUGGAGGUACAAAUAUGGACAUUUGUUCUUAGAUUUCUCCAAAUUGGUACAGUAAAAAUGCUUGAUAUUGAGUGUGUGUGUAGUCUUAGAUGUGUAGAAGUCAAGUACACCAUCCAUAGCCAUGAAAUAUUGAGCAAUAUUAUUU